UACGAAGGGGGCUAGCGUUGUUCGGAAUCACUGGGCGUAAAGCGCACGUAGGCGGACUUUCAAGUCAGGGGUGAAAUCCCGGAGCUCAACUUCGGAAUUGCCUUUGAUACUGUUGGUCUCGAGUCCGGAAGAGGUGGGUGGAAUUCCGGGUGUAGUGGUGGAAUACGUAGAUAUCCGGAGGAACACCAGCGGCGAAGGCGGCUUUCUGGUCCGAUACUGACGCUGAGGUGCGAAAGCGUGGGGAGCAAACAGG
rnacentral:rRNA from 1 species